GCAGAUGUAGUGUAGUGGUUUAAGCAUUGGACUAUGACUCUGGAGACCAGGGUUCGAAUCCCCUCUCAGCC